rnacentral:rRNA from 1 species
CCUACGGGAGGCAGCAGUGAGGAAUAUUGGUCAAUGGACGCAAGUCUGAACCAGCCAUGCCGCGUGCAGGAAGACGGCCCUCUGAGUGGUAAACUCUUUUUGUACGAGGGUAAACGCAGAUUCGUGUAUCUGUCUGAAAGGAUCGUACGAAUAAGGAUCGGCUAACUUCGUGCCAGCAGCCGCGGGAAUACGGAGGAUUCAAGCGUUAUCCGGAUUUAUUGGGUUUAAAGGGUGCGUAGGCGGUCGGAUAAGUUAGAGGUGAAAUCCCGAGGCUCAACUUCGGAAUUGCCUUUGAUACUGGGCGGCUAGAGUGUAGUAGGGGUAGGCAGAAUG